AACUUCUUUAUAACAAUUUUAAGAAAAUGGAAUCGGGUUAUUAGAAUUAAUUUUAAUAACCAGUUAUAACAUAUGAUUUAUAUAUGGUUAUGACUUGGUUAUAUAAAUUAACAGUCUAGGAGCGUCUCUGUUCAUGGUUAUGAUUUCAUUGAAAUUAUUAUAACCCUGAAACCCUUAAUGUGUUUACUUCUUAUGUAUGUGUUUCUCACCGUUAGAAGAGACCCAUGAUGUCCAGAUUGAAUUUGAUAGGUUCCUAUUGAUGUUGUGUUCUAGAAGGAUGAAAUGAUUGACAUCAUUGGAGGGACAAAAGGUAAAGAUUAUGAAGGUGUUGUUACUCGUUGGGGUGUUACCCGUCUCCCCCGUAAGACUCAUAUGGGUUUGAGGAAGGUUGCUUGUAUUGGAGCAUGGCAUCAUGAGACUGUGACAAAAGGUAAGGGUUAUGAAGGUGUUGUUACUCGUUGGGGUGUUACCCGUCUCCCUCGUAAGACUCACAUGGGUGUGAGGAAGGUUACUUAUAUUGGCGUUUGGCAUCCUGCCAGAGUGACAAAAGAUAAGGGUUAUGAAGGUGUUGGUACUCGUUGGGGUGUUACCAGUCUCCCUUGUAAGACUCUUAUGGGUUUGAGGAAGGUUGCUUGUAUUGGUGCAUGGCAUCCUGCCAGAGUGAUAAAAGAUAAAGGAUAUGAAAGUGUUACUCGUUGGGGUGUUACCUGUCUCCCCCGUAAGACUCACAUGGGUUUGAGGAAGGUUGCUUGUAUUGGUGCAUGACAUCCUGCCAGAGUGACAAAAGGUAACGGUUAUGAAGGCGUUGUUACUCAUUGGGGUGUUACCCGUCUCCCUCGUAAGACUCACAUGGGUUUGAGGAAGGUUGCUUGUAUUGGUGCAUAGCAUCCUACCAGAGUUUCCUUCAUUGUUGCAAGGUCUAAUCAUAACGGUUACCACCACGAAACUGAGCUAAACAAGAAGGUUUACAAGCUCGACAAACAUGAAGAGACCUAUGAUGCCCAGACUGAAUUUGAUAGGGCUGAGAAAGACAUCACCCCAUGAGUGGUUUCCCUCACUCCAAUUUCUUUGAGAAGCAAGUUCCCAUUGAUGCUGUUUUCUAGAAGGAUGAAAUUAUUGGAGUGACAAAAAGGAAGGGUUACGAAGAUGUUACUCGUUGGGGUGUUACCCGUCUCCCCCGUAAGACUCACAAGGGUUUGAGAAAGGUUGCUUGUAUUGGUGCAUGGUAUCCUGCCAGGGUUUCCUUGACUGUUGCAAGGGAUUAAUAGGAUAUUCUCAAGUUAAGAGUGAUGCAUAAUCGCAUUGCAAUACUUUUAUUCAAGACGGUGUAAAAUAGUUUUCUUUUGUGCUUAUGUAUGCUAGUACGUUUGAUUUACAAUAAGGCUCUGGUAUUGUGACAUUUGGGGGCCAGAAUUCAUGUGUUUCUUUUGUACAUAUGUAUGUUGCUAUUGUGAUAUCGAGGUCGGGAUGCAUGUAUUUCCUUUUGUACAUAUGUAUGCGGAACUGUCAAGUCAACUAUUAUGUCUGGUAUUGUGACAUCAGGCCCAAAAAUCAUGCUUUUUAAAUUAUUA